UCCUUGAAGUCAGCGGCGGACGGGUGAGUAACACGUGGGUAACCUACCUAUAAGACUGGGAUAACUUCGGGAAACCGGAGCUAAUACCGGAUAAUAUGUUUCACCUCAUGGUGAAACAGUGAAAGACGGUUUCGGCUGUCACUUAUAGAUGGACCCGCGGCGCAUUAGCUAGUUGGUGAGGUAACGGCUCACCAUGGCGACGAUGCGUAGCCGACCUGAGAGGGUGAUCGGCCACACUGGGACUGAGACACGGCCCAGACUCCUACGGGAGGCAGCAGUAGGGAAUCUUCCGCAAUGGACGAAAGUCUGACGGAGCAACGCCGCGUGAGUGAAGAAGGUUUUCGGAUCGUAAAACUCUGUUGUAAGGGAAGAACAAGUACGUUAGUAACUGAACGUACCUUGACGGUACCUUACCAGAAAGCCACGGCUAACUACGUGCCAGCAGCCGCGGUAAUACGUAGGUGGCAAGCGUUAUCCGGAAUUAUUGGGCGUAAAGCGCGCGUAGGCGGUCUCUUAAGUCUG
rnacentral:rRNA from 1 species